GGUUACCAGAGUAAAGUUUGCAAAAGUGUCCUUGCUUCCACUGAGAAAUGUUUAGGAAGCCAGUCACCAAAGCUGCAGUAAUUAGGGCAUGAACAGCCACCGGAGAAAUAAGAGAAACUGCCAGCUGGAGGGUUUUCAGGUCACCCUGCUGAAGGACAGAGAAGUGACCAGCAGAUGAUGUUAUAAUCUGGUGUUGGCUGGAAGAUAGCUUAGAGGACCUGCAGAUGGGAAGUGUGGGGAUGCUGGAUUUGGGUUGUGAAUCAACACAGGCUGAGAUAAUGGGCUUCUCUUCCCCCUGCAAUGACCUGAGACUUGGGCUGAGGCUCGCCGUUCUGGGAGCUGAGGGAAAAAACCCUGAGGAGAAUGUGAGGAACUCACCAGCCCUUGUUUACCGUCUGGUUUCAAAUCUGGGUGGCAGCAUGCUGAGAUAGUGUACGAAAUCAAAGGACAGCAGGCAGCCUCUGUGUCACUCUUGUUCUGACAAAGCAGC
ensembl:lncRNA